rnacentral:rRNA from 1 species
CCUACGGGUGGCUGCAGUGGGGAAUUUUGGACAAUGGGCGCAAGCCUGAUCCAGCCAUUCCGCGUGAGUGAAGAAGGCCUUCGGGUUGUAAAGCUCUUUCGCAAGGGAAGAAAACUUAUCCUCUAACAUAGGAUGAGGUUGACGGUACCUUGAUAAGAAGCACCGGCUAACUACGUGCCAGCAGCCGCGGUAAUACGUAGGGUGCGAGCGGGCAUCGAGAUUGCGGGGCGUAAAGCGUAAGUCAGCUGUGAAAUCCCCGAGCUCAACUUGGGAACUGCGUUUGAAACUACAAGACUAGAAUAGGUCAGAGGGGGGUAGAAUUCCACGUGUAGCAGUGAAAUGCGUAGAGAUGUGGAGGAAUAUCAAUGGCGAAGGCAGCCCCCUGGGAUCAUAUUGACGCUCAUGCACGAAAGCGUGGGGAGCAAACAGGAUUAGAUACCCCUGUAGUC